rnacentral:rRNA from 1 species
GACGAACGCUGGCGGCGUGCUGAACCCAUGCAAGUCGAACGGAGUGGCGAACGGUCGAGUAACAUGUGGGUGAUCUGCCUUGCACUUCGGCAUCAGCAUGGGACACUGUGUCUAAUAACGGAUAGUCAAGGAUGAGCUUGCUGCCUAUCAGCUUGUUGGUUGGGUAAUGGCCUACCAAGGCGUCGACGGGUAGCCGGCCUGAGAGGGGUUACGGCCACAGUGGGACUGAUAUACGUGCGAGAACCCUACGGGAGGCAGCAGUGGGGAAUAGUGUACAAUGAGCGGAAGCCAGAUGCAGCGACGCCGCGUGGGGGAUGAAGGCCUUCGGGUUGUAAACUCCGUUCGACAGGGACGCGGUACCUGUAUAGGAACCUCCGGCAAACUACGUGCCAGGAGCCGCGGUAAUAC